rnacentral:tRNA from 1 species
GAGGGUAUAGCUCAGUGGUAGAGCACCUGCUUAGCAAGCACGAGGUCCUGGGUUCAAUCCCCAGUACCGCCC